rnacentral:misc_RNA from 1 species
UCCGGCGAAUGCCGGCAGUCCCGCCAGACAAAUCUAACUGGCAGUGAGGGUUUCGCUCGUUUACCCACUUAAGGGCACAGCUCACGCCACGAGCUGACGACAGCCGUGCAACACCUGUCAUCCCGCUCCCUUACGGGCACGGCCCUAUUUCUAGGGCUUUCGGGAGAUGUCAAGGCCUGGUAAGGUUCUCCGGUUAUCGUCGAAUUAAACCACAUGCUCCACCGCUUGUGCGAUCCCCCGUCAAUUCCUUUAUGUUUUAGCCUUGCGGCCGUACUUCACAGGCGGCACACUUAACGCGUUAGCUUCGCUACAAGAAGGGUCGAUGCUUCUGAUAGCUAGUGUGCAUCGUUUACGGCGUGGACUAC